rnacentral:rRNA from 1 species
UAAUACCGGCUGCUCGAGUGAUAGCCACUUUUACUGGGCUUAAAGCGUUCGUAGCUUGGUCGUUAAGUCUCUGGGGAAAUCUUUUGGCUCAACCAAAAGGCGUCUCAGGGAAACUGACGAUCUUGGAACCGGGAGAGGUAAGACGUACUUCGGGGGUAGGAGUGAAAUCUUGUAAUCCCCGAGGGACGACCGAUGGCGAAGGCAUCUUACCAGAACGGCUUCGACAGUGAGGGACGAAAGCUGGGGGAGCAAACCGGAUUAGAUACCCGGGUAGUCCCAGCCGUAAACGAUGUGCGUUAGGUGUGUCAGUGACCACGAGUCGCUGAGGUGCCGAAGGGAAACCGUGAAACGCACCGCCUGGGAAGUACGGUCGCAAGGCUG